rnacentral:rRNA from 1 species
AUUGAACGCUGGCGGCAUGCCUAACACAUGCAAGUCGAACGCGAACGGGUUUUGGCCUGAGUAGCGUGGCGGACGGGUGAGUAAUGCGUGGGAAUCUGCCUUGCAGUGGGGGAUAACCCGAGGAAACUCGGGCUAAUACCGCAUACGACCUACGGGUGGAAGAGGGCUUAGGCGCUCGCUGCAAGAUGAGCUCACGUCCGAUUAGCUAGUUGGUGUGGUAAAGGCGCACCAAGGCGACGAUCGGUAGCUGGUCUGAGAGGAUGAUCAGCCACACUGGGACUGAGACACGGCCCAGACUCCUACGGGAGGCAG